rnacentral:rRNA from 1 species
UACGGAGGGGGCUAGCGUUGUUCUGAAUUACUGGGCGUAAAGCGCACGUAGGCGGCUUUGUAAGUUAGAGGUGAAAGCCUGAUGCUCAACAUCAGAAUUGCCUUUAAGACUGCAUCGCUUGAACGUCGGAGAGGUAAGUGGAAUUCCGAGUGUAGAGGUGAAAUUCGUAGAUAUUCGGAAGAACACCAGUGGCGAAGGCGGCUUACUGGACGACUGUUGACGCUGAGGUGCGAAAGCGUGGGGAGCAAACAGG